rnacentral:rRNA from 1 species
GACGAACGCUGGCGGCGUGCUUAACACAUGCAAGUCGAACGGAAAGGCCCUGCUUUUGUGGGGUGCUCGAGUGGCGAACGGGUGAGUAACACGUGAGUAACCUGCCCUUGACUUUGGGAUAACUUCAGGAAACUGGGGCUAAUACCGGAUAGGAGCUCCUGCUGCAUGGUGGGGGUUGGAAAGUUUCGGCGGUUGGGGAUGGACUCGCGGCUUAUCAGCUUGUUGGUGGGGUAGUGGCUUACCAAGGCUUUGACGGGUAGCCGGCCUGAGAGGGUGACCGGCCACAUUGGGACUGAGAGACGGACCAGACUCCUACGGGAGGCAGCAGUGGGGAGUAUUGCACAAUGGGCGGAAGCCUGAGGCAGCGACGCCGCGUGCGGGAUGACGGCCUUCGGGUUGUAAACCGCUUUCGCCUGUGACGAAGCGUGAGUGACGGUAAUGGGUAAAGAAGCACCGGCUAACUACGUG